ensembl:lncRNA CASC15 cancer susceptibility 15
UGUCAAGUGGAAGUGUGAAGCACCACAAACUGCUCUGAGCAGAGCCCACUUCCCUUCACCCACGGAGAGCGUGAAGCAGUUACACCAACAUCAAUCAAGGAAAACCCACAGGCUGAGCUCACACGGUUGAAGCAGGAAGUUGAAGAUUUGUCCAGGAGCAGAUAGCUGAAGAGAGAGAGAGAGAAGAGAGAACGGCUUACAGCUCAGGUCCUCUCUCCAUGCUUAGGAACCACUACAAAUGCUACUGCCUUGAGUCUCAUUUUGUUUCCCUCUGGAAACCACAUGUGUACCUUGUUUGCAACAGUAUGGUUGGAAAACUUUAAUAUGAGAUUGAAGAUAUGAUUUGCUUUCUGGAUUGUUGUAUGCUACUAAAACCGAAGAAAGAGAAGGAAAAAUGGAUGAAUCGACGGACCAUAUCACCCUGGCACCUAUAUCAGCUCAAAAACUGAAGGAAAUACCCCUUUCCUGCCCUCUCUUUGACUAAUGCUAUAGACUCUGAGUCAGUAGUUCCUGGUGGGACCUGAGAGUCCACAUUCCUGAUGAGCUCCAGGUGUUCCCAUGCUGCUGCCCCUCUGACCACACUUAGAAUAAGAAGGCUUGAAAUGAAAUCUGAGAAAUCAGCCUCUUGAUUCCAAUUUUAAACAUGCAAUUGAUUCUUGUAAUUUUUCAUUCUUGUCAAAAUGCAUACCAGUAAGUUUGUAAUCAGUAUUGGCAUGCUUAAAAGAAUUUAAGACUUGUUAUAUUUGUCAUUUUAAUUUAUUUAAACUUUAAAGAUUUGUUCAGAACUUGGAAAGAUUUUGCUUAAGCUCAUAAAUUUACCCACUCAGGCAUAUGAGAUAGGGUACUUUGAUUUAUAAAUGAAGUUUAAAAUUAAGGGAAUUUAAUUAAGUUUUCAAAAUGAGAUUGGUUGUUUUAAGGGGAAUUUACUUUGUGUAACUUGAGUUCAUCAAACGCUAAUCCAAGUUCCCUGCAAAACCUGUUCUGUUUUAUAUAACAUUUACUCGUUUUAGAAAUAGAUGAGAUUUGCAAAUUGAACCUAAAGACUUAAGGCAAAUUAUGUAUCUUUUUAUACUUUAAUAAAGAAAAAUAAAAUAAAUUUGAAACACAAAUAACUCUAACUGGCCCUUUUUAUGUAAAAAGAAGUCCUUGAAUAAAAUUUACCUUGACAGCACUA